rnacentral:lncRNA from 1 species
CCUAAUACAGCCUACAGCCACUUGAAACAAGCUUCAGGAGCACAAAUAAAAAGGUUGAACAAAGUCAACUUGAACAUUUUGGAGCUAACUUGAAACAAGCUUCCUUCACAAAUGGAAUGAUCAUUCUAGCUAACUUUCUGUUUUCAGUCUCGGCCACAUUUUGGAGCGUCUCACGGCGUCAUGCAUCUUGACAAACAAGAUGCCAUGCCUCGGAAUGUUUCCCGUCACGCCGGGAAGACAAAGCACCGAGUGAGAACAGGAUGGACGGUAUAUGUAUCCAAAACCAAAAGACAGUGAAUGGUACUAAUAUUGUUUCGCGACACAGGCACACUCACCGUCUGCACAACGGUACUACUAUUAUUUUGGUUCGCUCCGAUAUCUCAAAACUCGUUUGACUUGAAAGAACUCGAAUUGCGG